AACGAACGCUGGCGGCAGGCUUAACACAUGCAAGUCGAACGCAUCGCAAGCUGAGUGGCAGACGGGUGAGUAACGCGUGGGAACAUACCCUUUUCUACGGAAUAGCUCUGGGAAACUGGAAUUAAUACCGUAUACGCCCUACGGGGGAAAGAUUUAUCGGGGAAGGAUUGGCCCGCGUUGGAGUAGCUAGUUGGUGGGGUAAAGGCCUACCAGGGCGACGAUCCAUAGCUGGUCUGAGAGUAUGAUCAGCCACAUUGGGACUGAAGCACGUCCCAAACUCCUACGGGAGGCAUCAGUGGAGAAUAUUAGACAAUGGGCGCAAGCCUGAUCCAGCCAUGCCGCGUGAGUGAUGAAGGCCUUAGGGUUGUAAAGCUCUUUCACCGAUGAAGAUAAUGACGGUAGUCGGAGAAGAAGCCCCGGCUAACUUCGUGCCAGCCGCCGCUGUAACAC
rnacentral:rRNA from 1 species